UGCUGUGUUCAACAGAGGGACCUAUCCGACUGUCCUGGUGGCCUCCAGGUUAAUGUCUAAGCUCCCUUCUCUGGAAUCCUGGAGCCUCACUGUCUGGGCCUGUGGGCAAGACAGCCUCUCCCCAAAUAGGAGGAGAAUCUGAACCCAGGACAGACAGAUGCCCUGAGGAAUGAUAAGACCUCAAGGCUGAUAUCCAGCAGCACCAGGGAGCACAGCAUUGGGGUGGUGAGCUAUGAGGAUGUGAGAACCCAAGGAGAAGUUGAGGCCAAAGAGAAGCCCAGAACUUCCAUGAUUAGGGUGCUGAGAUUCUCCCUACAGAUCAGUAGGACUCUCUCCUUUCCACCCACCCACUCACCCCAUCUUCCCUGGCCCUGCUUCCUGCACCAAUCAGCUCUCAAUAAAAUGUCCUCACUGAGUCAAUCAGGAAA